rnacentral:rRNA from 1 species
GAUGAACGCUGGCGGCGUGCCUAAUACAUGCAAGUCGAGCGAACAGACGAGGAGCUUGCUCCUCUGACGUUAGCGGCGGACGGGUGAGUAACACGUGGAUAACCUACCUAUAAGACUGGGAUAACUUCGGGAAACCGGAGCUAAUACCGGAUAAUAUAUUGAACCGCAUGGUUCAAUAGUGAAAGACGGUUUUGCUGUCACUUAUAGAUGGAUCCGCGCCGCAUUAGCUAGUUGGUAAGGUAACGGCUUACCAAGGCGACGAUGCGUAGCCGACCUGAGAGGGUGAGCGGCCCCACUGGAGCUGAGCAGCGGUACCGGCUCCGACGGGAGGCAGAAGUAGGGAAUCUUCCGCAAUGGGCGAAAGCCUGACGGAGCAACGCCGCGUGAGUGAUGAAGGUCUUCGGAUCGUAAAACGCUGUUAUUAGGGAAGAACAAAUGUGUAAGUAACUAUGCACGUCUGGACGGUACCUAAUCAGAAAGCCACGGCUAACUACGU